rnacentral:rRNA from 1 species
UACGGGGGGGGCAAGCGUUGUUCGGAAUUACUGGGCGUAAAGGGCUCGUAGGCGGCCAACUAAGUCAGACGUGAAAUCCCUCGGCUUAACCGGGGAACUGCGUCUGAUACUGGAUGGCUUGAGAUUGGGAGAGGGAUGCGGAAUUCCAGGUGUAGCGGUGAAAUGCGUAGAUAUCUGGAGGAACACCGGUGGCGAAGGCGGCCCCCUGGGAUAACACUGACGCUCAUGCACGAAAGCGUGGGGAGCAAACAGG